GAUGAAGAACGUAGCGAAAUGCGAUAAGUAAUGCGAAUUGCAGAAUUCAGUGAGUCAUCGAAUCUUUGAACGCAUCUUGCGCUCCUUGGUAUUCUGAGGAGCAUGCCUGUUUGAGUGUCAUUAAAUUCUCAACUACACUGACUUUGAAUUGGUGUGGCUUGGAUUUGGGGGGAAAAUUGUUGUGGGCUUUUUGUAUAGUCUGCUCCCCUGAAAUUGAUUAGCGGUACCUUUGUGGAACUGUCUACAGGUGUGAUAAUUAUCUACAUCUUAGACAUCUGCUGGAAUGCUGCUUUCUAAACCUUACUUGUAUUGACAAUCUUGACCUCAAAUCAGGUAGGACUACCCGCUGAACUUAAGCAUAUCAAUAAGCGGAGGA
rnacentral:misc_RNA from 1 species